GUGGGGAAUAUUGGACAAUGGGCGCAAGCCUGAUCCAGCCAUGCCGCGUGAGUGAUGAAGGCCUUAGGGUUGUAAAGCUCUUUCAGUAGGGAAGAUAAUGACGGUACCUACAGAAGAAGCCCCGGCUAACUUCGUGCCAGCAGCCGCGGUAAUACGAAGGGGGCUAGCGUUGUUCGGAUUUACUGGGCGUAAAGCGCACGUAGGCGGAUUGGUCAGUUAGAGGUGAAAUCCCGAAGCUCAACUUCGGAACUGCCUUUAAUACUGCCAGUCUAGAGUCCAGAAGAGGUGAGUGGAACUCCUAGUGUAGAGGUGGAAUUCGUAGAUAUUAGGAAGAACACCAGUGGCGAAGGCGGCUCACUGGUCUGGUACUGACGCUGAGGUGCGAAAGCGUGGGGAGCAAACAGGAUUAGAAACCCCAGUAGUCC
rnacentral:rRNA from 1 species